GUGCCAGCCGCCGCGGUAACACGGGGGGAGCAAGCGUUGUUCGGAAUCACUGGGCGUAAAGGGCGUGUAGGCGGUUUGGUAAGUGGAAUGUGAAAUCCCCCGGCUUACCCGGGGACCUGCAUCCCAUACUGCCAAGCUUGAGUACGGGAGAGGAUGAGGGAAUUCCUGGUGUAGCGGUGAAAUGCGUAGAUAUCAGGAGGAACACCGGUGGCGAAAGCGCUCAUCUGGCCCGAUACUGACGCUGAUGCGCGAAAGCUAGGGGAGCAAACGGGAUUAGAAACCCGAGUAGUCC
rnacentral:rRNA from 1 species